rnacentral:rRNA from 1 species
CGAGCGCAACCCUCGCUGUGUGUUAUAUGUGUCACACGGGACUGCCGGUCUUAAGCCGGAGGAAGUGGGGAUGAUGUCAAGUCAGCAUGGCCUUUAUAUCCUGGGCUACACACACGCUACAAUGGCCAACACAAUAGGUUGCUAAGCCGCGAGGUGGCGCCAAUCCAUAAAGUUGGUCUCAGUUCAGAUUGUAGGCUGCAACCCGCCUGCAUGAAGAUGGAGUUGCUAGUAACCGCAGGUCAGCUAUACUGCGGUGAAUACGUUCCCGGGGCUU